CGAAGAAGAAAAUAUGAUUAAUGGUUUUUAAAAAAAAAUUGGAGAUAGAAGAAGAAUAUUUGGCUAAGUGUGUUUUGAGUGUUUUGUGGCGUGGGCUUGAGUGUUUUGUGCUAUAUGAUUUAAAGAAGAUAGAGGAUGAUAGUUGUGUUAUUAUUGUUUUAGAGAGAAGCGAUGAAGAAGUACAAGUUCAAGAGAAAAAGAGGUGAACAAUAUUUGAGAGAGCAAUGCAUAAAUGAGACAGAUUAUAUAGUCAUUGUUUUACAACACACGUGAAGUGUAGAAACCAACAAAAUACUACACUUUCACACCCGUGACACAAACAUAAUUCAUCAACUACAGCUCUACCUACUACAACCCGUGACUAGCCUGUAGAAAACUCUGAGAUCAUCAUCACCCGUGACACAAACACACCUACUACAACCACAACUACACCACUAGCUAGUACAACCCGUGACCUGCACAACAAAAAACAAAAGAAGAAGCAAGACAAAUAGUUAGUAACCAAGUAAGCAAAUAAUCAAGUUAGCGAAUAAUCAAGCUA
rnacentral:lncRNA from 1 species